rnacentral:rRNA from 1 species
UACGUAGGAGGCGAGCGUUGUCCGGAUUUACUGGGCGUAAAGCGCGCGCAGGCGGUCCUUUAAGUCUGAUGUGAAAGCCCACGGCUCAACCGUGGAGGGUCAUUGGAAAACUGGGGGGACUUGAGUACAGAAGAGAAGAGUGGAAUUCCACGUGUAGCGGUGAAAUGCGUAGAGAUGUGGAGGAACACCAGUGGCGAAGGCGACUCUUGGUCUGUAACUGACGCUGAGGCGCGAAAGCGUGGGGAGCAAACAGG